UAGGGAAUCUUCCACAAUGGACGCAAGUCUGAUGGAGCAACGCCGCGUGAGUGAAGAAGGGUUUCGGCUCGUAAAGCUCUGUUGGCAGUGAAGAAAGAUAGAGGUAGUAACUGGCCUUUAUUUGACGGUAAUUACUUAGAAAGUCACGGCUAACUACGUGCCAGCAGCCGCGGUAAUACGUAGGUGGCAAGCGUUGUCCGGAUUUAUUGGGCGUAAAGCGAGUGCAGGCGGUUCAAUAAGUCUGAUGUGAAAGCCUUCGGCUCAACCGGAGAAUUGCAUCAGAAACUGUUGAACUUGAGUGCAGAAGAGGAGAGUGGAACUCCAUGUGUAGCGGUGGAAUGCGUAGAUAUAUGGAAGAACACCAGUGGCGAAGGCGGCUCUCUGGUCUGCAACUGACGCUGAGGCUCGAAAGCAUGGGUAGCGAACAGGAUUAGAUACCCUGGUAGUCCAUGCCGUAAACGGUGAGUGCUAAGUGUUGGGAGGUUUCCGCCUCUCAGUGCUGCAGCUAACGCAUUAAGCACUCCGCCUGGGGAGUACGACCGCAAGGUUG
rnacentral:rRNA from 1 species